CGGCCUUGGCGGCCUGUGGCGCUGUCGCCUUCCUGGGCUACUGUGUUUACUUCGACCGGAAGCGGCGUGGCGACCCCGCGUUCAAGCGCCGUCUGCGGGACAAAAGAAGAACCCAGGAGCAAAAGGCUGAGGGACAGGGCCCUGCCCAGGUGAAGUGCUUAGCGACGCCUCGGUGGAGUUAUAUUGUGGGAUCCAGCAAAGAAUGAAAAAUUGCAAGAACUUUUUCUGCAGGAGGUACGAAUGGGAGAACUUUGGUUAUCUAGAGGGACCCCCAAAUGAUAUCGAGGCCCUCAGAAAAUCUGGAUUGAUCUUUAGAUAUGGAUACUCCUUGGGUAUAGGGGCAAUUAAAAUAGUACCUGUACAAUUUAACAUUUAUUGAAUUGGGGUAGUAUAACUAUGGAGGGGGAAAUUCUGAAUAUUAAAUCAAAAGAAAAAAAUAACAAUUAUUUAUUAAUUUUAUUUUUAUUCACUCUGUUUAAGAACUAUCAUGUAACAGUUUAGACUUAGAAAUCAAUAUGAUACAGAUAAUGAGAUGAAUAAAACAACUAGUGUUUUUAAACUUUUCCCUCUCAAAGGUGAUCACAUUAUUUCUGUGAAACCCUAAAUUGAUUAAUUAGCUCUUCAAGUGUUAUGUACUUCUACUAUAUUUUACCUCAAAUGCAGUUUUCAAUCUUGCUUAUUCUGUAACUCCCCACUGAACCCCAAACCAAUUAAAUCAGCAUCUCUGGGGGUUGGACUCCAGCAUCAGUAUUUUUUAAAUCUCCCUAGGUUAUUACAACAUAAAUCCAACGUUGAGAACCAGUAUUCUAAUGCAAUCAUUUUUGACCCAAUUUUUGUUAACCUUUUUCAAUUUUCUUGUCCUUUCUGCUGCCACCACCAAAUGUCAUUACUUUGCUGUCAGGUAAUAUAGUUCUGUUGCCAUCUCAAUUGUGCUUAUGUCUAUAUUGGGACCAUAAUUUUGAUUGAAAUUUUUGAUUAGCUAUUGGUUGGUUGACUUAAUUGAUCAAAUUGAUUAUUGUUUUGGGUCUCAUUAGCUCCAUCAGGUUGAGAGCAGGCAUUCUAUCCUUUAAGACUCAGUACAUUCAAAGUAUUUCGACUUAAUGUAUCAUUUCCAAAAGUCUGUAAUUUUAUGAGUUUAAAAUAAACCUUUUAGUGAAAUGUUUCACGUAAUAAAUAGCUUCUUUAAAUGCCUAAGAAAGGUUACUAAAAACCCAGCAAUGAAAAUUUCUUAGGUUCAAAACAAAAUUAGGUUAUCUAUAGGUAUCUAUAAAUGCAAAACCUUGUCUUAAAUCCUACUUAAUAUUGACAAGUCUUGCUUUGUCUAUGUAUCUAAGUAUGUCUUUCUCAUAGUUUUUAGGUUAAGCUUAAUACAGAUCUUUGGGAAGCAGUUUUUUUCUGUCCAUCAUUCCCUUUUUCUUCAUACAAUCAUGUAUUUCAACCAAUGAGUGGCAGAUUUCAUUAGAAUCUAACAAUAUAUUUAACUGUAGAGAAAUGUAUUUUAUUUCCUACCUAAUUAUAUUAAAUAUGUGUCAAAAUUUCAACUGCUUUUAUUACAUAAUACCUGAAGUGAGGCAGUACAAUCUAGUCUCAAGGUUCAGAAAAUUAGGUUCUGUUACUAAUUCUGGCAUUAAUUAGCUUUGAAAUCUUAAUUUCACUGAUCUUUGCCUCAGUUUCCUAAAACAGAGGAGUGAAAUUCAGUGAUUCCAUGUUCUAACAUAAACAGAAAUUCUAUGAUUAAUAGCUACUCUUCACAAAUUUUCAUUCUUAGUUAUUUUACAACUAAAACUUGACUUAGAAAUCAAAGUUCAUAAAUCUUAUUUUCUUCCCCUGGAUCUGUAAUUCGUGUUACACUACAUUUUGUUUUCAACUCCGACAAUAGAAUCUAUUUUUAAAGUGUCAUUUUGCCGGAACAGAUGUUUCAUAUAUUUCAUCAAUCACACAUGUAAGGAUAAACUACCUUUAUCCAAGUAAGGAUAAAAUAACAGAACACAACCUUUAAAAAGAACUCAGUAUCCACCCCUCCUGCGUACCCAAAUUGCGGAACAUGGACAUUUCCAAAACAAGAAAACUUUUGAACAGUAAGAGUGUACUUAACUGUAAUUUUGGUCAUAAUGUAAUUCAUAUUUCAGCUUGACCACAGUGAAUCUAAUUGGCAGCUCAACAUUUCUCCUCACUUUUAUACUCUUUAUGAGACUUACUUGAUAUGCUUUUUAAGUUUUAAUGCUUGGUGCUUUUUUUGUAAUUUGUAGAAUGUAUACUUUGUAGAACUUAAAAAUUUUGUUUUAAACUUAUCAAUCUGUUUCAGGAGAGCACGGAAUGGGGGUUGAACAUCUCAGCAAUGCCCUUUUAGUAUGUGGGCAACCACAGGAGCUUCUGAACAUUUUUAAACACACACUCCCUCCCAAGGUAUUUGAGAUGCUAUUACACAAAAUUCCCCUUAUUUGCCAGGUGAGCAAAUAUUUAAUUAUUUUUGUGACAUGAACACAAUAACUAUGUUGGGCUUGAUUAUACAGAAAUAGCAAAGUAUGUGUGUGAAUGGCCCAAAGUUUUAAAUGAGUAAAAUCCCUGAAGUUUUGUUUGCUUUUCUUGCUUUAAGAUGAAACAAGCCAAUUUUUUCGUGGUGCUUUGACUAUAACAAAUUGUCUAUUUUGUUGCAUAUUAUACGUUUCAACAGUUAAUUUUUAAAGAUAGCACUGUUAAUAUUUUUGUUGAUCUUUGUACUUUCAAAUAUAUCAUAGUUAUUGACUGUAAUGUCUACAGAGACCUUUAAGUUAAGUGGUAUCGUUAAUUAAAGGACCUAAUGGCGUAAGAAUUAGAUUUAACGUAGGAAACAGUAAAUUAUCAAAGCAGAACAACCCUUCUAAUUUCCAUUAAUAUGGCAAAACAUAAAGACAUCACUUUGGUAAAUUUAAACAUAUAGGCUAGUUAGUGUUCUCUUAAGUACAAGUUUAGAUUGGUAUCAAAUGAAAUCCAUUUGUAAGUUAAUUUAUCAGUAGGUAUGGUGUUUCCUUGAAAAUAAGGCCUAGCCGGACAAUCAGC